UGAAACAGACUUCCCUGUCUUGGCAGAUUAACACCAUCCAUGAGCUCACUUUUCCUUCUAAUAUCUGGGAUUCUAAUAUCCAUUCAUUAUUACUUUCAAAGGAAUUAUCCUCUCUUUUUGAAAAGCACAACGUUAAAGAUGUUUUGACACUCUUUCACAGCUAUCGCUUUAAAUAACAAUCACAAAUAAAGCCAAAAAUAGUUUCUCAAGGUCAUUUAUCUAAGUCAUAAGCAAUAAGAAAGAAUGACUACUUCAAAAAAAGAGUCUGUCUGCUUCCAAGACAUGCCAGGAACUCGAGAACUGAGAACAAUAAUGUAAAGCUUGUGUUUCAGAGUUGAGAUUAGCAUUAUGCUUAAGAUUUUCUUUAAUGUUUUUUAUGCCAGCUGGACGUCUUCUGUUAGUGAAUUUCCCAUUCUGUACUGGGUCAUACGAAAUGAGUUUUUAAAAACUCAUUAAUCAGUUAUUAAACAAAACAUUUUUCCUUAGACUAAUCCAAACCACAUUUGUGAUCUUUUUAAAAAUCAGAAACAUUAACAAAAACUCAUUUUUCUAAAAACUGACAUAUUUCUGGAGCCUUGACCAAUUCAUUAUUAUAAUUUUGAGUAACUAAUAGUGAUUGACAUUUAUGUAGUGCUUAUUAUUGCCAGGCACUGUUCUAAGUGUUUUUUAAAAAUAAACUAAUUUAGUCUUUGUAACAACCAUGUGAGGGAAAAACUAUCCUCCACUUUACAGAUGAGGAAGCUGAAGAAAAAAUAAGAAAUGUACUCAAAAGUUGCACAGUCAAUGAAGGAUGAAGCUAAAUUCAAACAGACAUUCUGGCUCUAGGGUCUGUGUUCUUAACCACUCUGCAAACUGCCUCCUAGGGUGUUACAUUUAAAAAUACAUUCCUAGGUCUGGUGCGGUGGUUCACGCCUGUAAUCCCAGCACUUUGGGAGGCCGAGGGAUAUGGACUGCCUGAGCUCAGGAGUUCGAAACCAGCCUGGGCAACAUGGUGAAACCCUGUCUCUACUAAAAACAAACAAAAAAAUUAGCCGGGCAUGGCAGUGUGUGCCUGUAAUCCCAGCUACUUGGGAGGCUGAGGCAGGAGAAUCGCUUGAACCCAGAGGCGGAGGUUGCAGUGAACCAAGAUCGUGCCAUUGCACUCCAGCCUGGGUGACAGAGCAAGACUCUAUCUCAAAAAAAAAAUAAAAAAAUAAAAAAUGAAUAUACAUUCCUAAUUUGUAUUUGUCUCCUUCUAUCCCCUUUCCUCAGAGACUGACAUUUAAAUUUACUUGGCAUGAAUUGUGCUCAUUUAAUCUGGAUUUCCUGAAUUAUAAGUUAUAUUACCUAGAUUGAACAACCAAAAAUAAAUAAGGAAAAUAACGUCAACCUUGUAACUGCA
rnacentral:lncRNA from 1 species